CAAUAGCGUAUAUUUAAGUUGCUGCAGUUAAAAAGCUCGUAGUUGGAUUUCGGGUGGGAAUGGCUGGUCCGCCGUUUCGGUGUGCACUUGCUACGCCCACCUUGCUGCCGGGGACGUGCUCUUGAGUUCACGCUCGGGACACGGAGUCGGCGAGGUUACUUUGAGUAAAUUAGAGUGUUCAAAGCAGGCCUACGCUCUGAAUACAUUAGCAUGGAAUAACACGAUAGGACUCUGGCCUAUCUUGUUGGUCUGUAGGACCGGAGUAAUGAUUAAGAGGGACAGUCGGGGGCAUUCGUAUUUCAUUGUCAGAGGUGAAAUUCUUGGAUUUAUGAAAGACGAACUACUGCGAAAGCAUUUGCCAAGGAUGUUUUCAUUAA
rnacentral:rRNA from 1 species